UUUAAUUAAUUGCAACAUUAUAAUUACUAACUUUUCUCUCUCCUCAUUUUUCCUCUGUAAUAACUAGAACUAUCUGAUGUUCUUCAUGGUAUCCGCGAGUUUCGUCCGUCAAUUGAUUCACAAUCUGCUCAAUUUCCUUCAAAAUUGUUGCAUUAAACACAUCAAACACUUUUGUUUCUUUUUCUCAGAUUAUCCUGGCAUUUUCUGCGAAUUUUUUUUGGGAGGGUCCAAGCGAAAUUCUGGAAAUUUUUAUUGAAUUUUGUCCAAUUAAUUGUUUAAUUGCAGCUGUUUGUUUGGUUGUUGUAGAAGCGAUUACUGCAAUUUCGAAGUUGAUUCAGUAAUUUCGAGGUCAUCGGAAUCGCUAAUCUGAAUUUCUGAAUUUUUGUUGAAGAUAUCUUUGAAAGAUUAAUCAAAUGGCUAUUGAAGAUUCUACGAGCACUAGAGAUAAUAUUCAGCAAAAUUCGACCAAUUUUAAUGUAAGUAAUUGCUUCAGCAAUCCUCUUUUCCUUGCUCCUUCGGAUAAUUCAACUACAUCUCUUGUUUCUGUAUUGUUAAAUGGGGACAAUUAUAUAGGAUGGUGUAAAAAUGUUAAGCGUGCUCUUGGAGCUAAUAAAAAACUAGGUUUUGUUGAUGGAUUUGUUAAGAAACCGAGUACCACAGGUCCUAUGCAUCAUCAAUGGAUACGUUGUGACUACGUGGUUGUAGGUUGGAUUUUAAGUUCCAUAAAACCUGAAAUUUCUGAGAAUUUCAAUAUGGUGGACUCCUCUGAAGCUUUGUGGGCAGCAAUUCGAGAAUGUUUUGGCCAAAGUAAUGGACCUCAAGUGUAUCAGUUGAAGAAAGAAUUAAAUGGCUUAAGGCAACAAAAUCUGACUGUGUUGCUUUACUAUAACAAAUUGAAGAAUUUAUGAGAUAAAUUGAAGGAACUGAGGAGAUUUCCGGACUGUAAUUGUGGUGCUUUGAGCAGUUGUACUUGCAACUUCUUGAAGAGAUUAGCUGAGUUUGACUCAGAGGAGAAAGUGAUACAACUGUUAUUAGGACAUAAAGUUCAAUCCUCUUGUCACUCCAUCCGGUGGCAAGAGAGAUUGAAAGAAAGAAAAGAUGGAGAGGUUUUGUGACUAUUGUAAGAGUAGGGGGGUUAUGUAAAGGACCAAUGCUUCAAGCUUAUUAGGUAUCCGGAUUGGUUUCCAAAGAAUUCCAACUGGAAAUGGUUUAGCUGCACAUGUAGCAUCAGAUGGGGAGAUGCUUGAUACUCCUUUUGGUGAUGAUGAUAACGGAGCAUCUGCUUCUGGCGGGCAGAAUGGUUCUUUUCAGAUGAAUCCUAGUAUGAUAAAAGCUAUAUGUAAUGAGGUGAUGAAAGCCAUGAAAGGAAAGCAACCUGCAAACAAUUCUGGAGCACAUUCCGUUGCAUUUGCUAAUAGUGCAGGCAUAAGUUUUGAAUGCUCUAUCUCCUGCAAUUUGGUGUUUGGUGAUAGUUGGAUUAUAGACUCAGGUGCCACAGACCAUAUGACCUAUAAUGCUAAACUAUUUAAGUCCAGAAAAACUCUUAAAAUUCCCAUCCCUAUUUGUUUACCUGACGGUAUCUACAAAUAUGUGAAAGAAUUAGGGGAUAUCAGCCUGGUUUCUGGUUUAGUGUUAAAAGAUGUGAUGUUGUUUUGAAAACUUUAAACACAGCUUGUCCGUUACGAAGUUUAUUGCUCAGAACAACCUAUUAGUAACAGUAAUGAUACUGAAUGUGCAUUUCAGGACCAUAUUACUAGACAAUGUUUGGCAAUUGGAAAGAAGAUUGGCACUUAUACUACUUGCAGAUGACAGGUAUCGGUGAAAGUGUACAUACGGAAAUAAGUGAGUUUGAUAGGUCAACUAAUGCUGCUAUUGUUGAUUCUAAUCUUGAAAAUAAGACUGUAGUGAAUGUCGUAGCUAAGAAAGCAAUUGAUGUAAAUGUGAUGCAUGCUAGAAUAGGCCAUGCUUCAUUAUCUAGGAUGAAACACAUUGUUGAUUGUGCUUUUCGUGGUAUAGAGGAGUUUGGAUGUGAUAUAUGUUAUCAGCCUAAGUUUCAUAAGCUUCCUUUUCCUCGAAGUGACAACAGAGCCAAACAAAUUUUGGAUUUAGUGCACAUUGACCUCUGGGGGCCUUUUAGAGUUCCUACUCUCAAUGGUGCUUCAUAUUUCUUAACCACCCUAGAUGAUAACAGUAGAACCACAUGGACUUUUUUGUUAUAUAACAAGGGUCAGGUAUACAAAACCAUUUCUGACUUUCUUCACCUUGUUAAAAACAGUUUGGUAAGCACAUCAAGUGCAUUAGAUCUGAUAACGGCACUGAAAUAAUCAAGGUUGAAUGCAAUGAAUCGUUUUCUGCUAAGGGUAUAGUUCAUCAAAAGAGUACUGUGGGAACCCCUCAACAAAAUGGUAGAGUUGAGAGGAAACACAAACAUCUUGCUGAGGUUGUUAGAGCUUUGAGAAUAUAAGCUAAUUUGCCAAAGAAAUUCUAGGGUGACUAUUUAUUCUUACAGCCACUUAUCACAUUAAUAAAAUUCCAACUCCUGUUCUUGGUUUGAAAUCUCCUUAUGAAGUUGUACUUGGAGAAGAACCUACAUAUGACCAUCUUUGAGUUCUUGGUUGUGAAUGCUUUGUUCAUAACCGUGAUAGACAGAAAGACAAGUUUGAUCCCCGUGGUGAAAUGUAAUUUCAUAGGAUACCCUUAUGGCCAAAAAGGUUAUAAGAUCUAUGAUUUGACUACUCAUAAAACCUUUUUUUCCAAAGACAUUAUUUUCCAUGAAACUGUUUUUCCAUACCUAAGUCAAAAACAAAAAGUUCUUCCUUCUAAUGUUAUGUCAUCUCUGCAAAUGAUUCUAACUUAUCUUCUCUAUUUUCUUCUGACAUUUUUAUCUCAAUACCUAGUUUAAAAAGGCGUAAGGCGCCCUAAGGCGCACAAGGGUCAUGGAGCCUAGGCCCAUUUUGGAUACGAGGCGCACAUAAUUUCUAAAUAAACCUUAAAAUACGGUAUAGAACAAAACUAACACAAUUUAUACUCAAAACAACAUAAAACAAUACUGUUGGAGUGUCAUAUUUUCUUGUCGGUUCAUAAACAUCGCGUGAUCCCAUGGAUGGAGUGCCAGAAUCAGAACCUUCCAUGGUAAUUACAAACUGGAAAUAUGAAAAUUAACUCAUAUUAUGCUACUGAAGGCUUAGGUUGUAGAGAUAUGACCGUUGCUAGUCACAUGGGGUGUGUUUAUAUCAUUACAAAAGAAAAAAAGUAAAUAAAAGAUCCACGUCAGCCGAAAAAAAAGUAAAUAAAACAUCCACGUCAGCCUGUUGCGCCUGAAGACCGAAGGCGCGCUUUGCGCUUUACCUAAGGCGCACAAAGGCGCCAUCAGCUAACUUGGAGAGCUAAAGGCGCUGAAAGCUGCACCUAGGUGCGCCUUGGGCGCGUUUUUUAAAGUAAGCCUGUUACACCUCUUACUUCUCCCAGAAAUACAAACACAAAUUCCUCUUCUCCUUCUUCUAAUGUUGUCAUUGAUACUCAUAGUCCUUGUUCUAGUGAAUCUCAUGUUUCCUCUAGUCCUAAUCCAAUUCAACUUCUACCCAGUUAGCACAUAUUUCCCCUGAAUCUAGCUCGAUAGAUGUUCUCAGACAGUCUACAAGACAUGUCAAACCUCCUACUAAAUUCAAAGACUAUGAGUGUGGUAUUCCUCUUUCUUCGAGGCACUUUUCUUCCUCUUUUCUUUCUUUCAUAGCUAAUGUUAUGAAUGCAAUUGAACCGUCAUCCUAUAAUAUUGCAAAGAAUCAUCCUGGAUGGGUAGAAGCCAUGGAUAAGGAAUUAGUUGUUUUAGAUGCUAAUGACACUUGGGAGAUUACUACUCUUCCAAAAGGAAAGAAAGCAAUAGGCUCGAAGGGAGCCUAUAAGACUAAGUUUGACAAAGAGGGAUAAUUUGAAAAGUUACAAGUAGAAUGGUAGACAUUGGUGAUCAACAAGUUCCCGGGAAAGAUUUCAAGGAUACAUUCUCUCCUGAACUAGCUACUGUGAGGAUUCUCAUAGCUCUUGCUACAACAAAGCAGUGACCAUUAUGUCAAUUGGACAUAAACAAUGCCUUUCUCCAUGGGUUUAUUAAAAAAGACUUGUAUAUGAAGCUUAGUUUUAAAAAGCGCGCUUUAACGCACAUAAAGAGCAGGGCGCACAAGGGAGCAGCUGGGAUCGCACCUGGUAAGAGUAGCGUAGCGAUGUACAGGUAGCGCGCGCCUUUGGCACUUUUUCCAGAAGCGCGCUUUUGAAGAAGCGCACGCUUCUUGUAUACUUAGCGCAGGAAAAUGAAACUUGUUGUUUUACCUGGAAUAAAUGAGCACGUGAGAAUCACGUGACCUUUUUAAUUGGGUGCAAGCUGGGAGUAACGGGCAGAAAUUAGGAGAGAGAAACCCAAUUCUUCACAUUCGACAUUUGGGGGUUUUCUCCAAAACCCUAACUGCGAAGUUGGAGCUACCCAACUACCGUGCUGCUGCCGGCCAGCCACCAGCCACCGUCUCGCCGGUCAGUUCCGCAACACCAGGAUGGCUACCAAUGAGGGUGGUUCAAGCACACCUUCUUUAGACACCGUGGAUCCGGCAAGAAAGUAUGGUAAAUCGGAACCUACUAAUAAGACUAAUGGGCAUUGUAGCUUUUGUGGUAAAGUAACAAAAGGAGGGGCUCUACGAAUGAGCAACAUAUGCUUCCUUUUGGCGCACAAGGGCACUUUAGCCUCUUAGACGUAUUCCGCUUUGGUGUCUAGUAAUGAAUUAUGCUUCCUUUUGUUAAUUUAUGCAUUUAUAAUAUAAGAAUCAUAUUGUUUUAAGUACAAAA